rnacentral:lncRNA from 1 species
CUCAGGGCCAGGGCCCGCCUCCAGGGGGCGGUGUGCGCCCCCGGCGCUGGAGCAGCCGCGUUUCGGGGACCCGGGCAGGCGUGGGGGGCUGCGCUGAGCUCCAGGCCUCCUGCAGGUGCAAUAAGAAUCGUAUUACUAAUGUGGUGUCCUCUGGAAUGGUCACAUGAACACAGUUCCCUGCAGAUGUAAUUGGGAGAGAAGGCACAGUCCUGACACAGGCUGUGCCUUAACUUCCUCGAAAGACAACAUCAGUGCUGGCGGGCCUCAAGAAGAGCCAUCCCAAGGUAUUGACUAGGCAUCAGCGUCUUCACCAGGGCAACACAGAACAUCCCUGCAGAGUUCCUGGUGGCUGCAGUGGCUGGUAGGGGAUGUAUGCCUGCUUUCCAUCAGAUUCCCAAAGCGGAGCCCCUGGAGGCUUUGGCCCAUGGCCCUGAAGCUCCCUUUCACAAGGAAGAAAGACUUUGCAAAGCCAACACCACUAUUGGAGAGAAAGUGGAGAAUGUGUAUUAGAAGUACUAGUCUUUGAAGGCAAAACAGCUGUAUAGAGUGAGCUUAAGUGCUGGAUCCCUGUGGUUAGGAAGGGACACUAAGCCUCCGGGAUGUGAGAGUCCCAUGGAAGGCAGUAGGCCCAGGAUAAAGCAGGUGUCAGCUCAGAAAGCCCACCAUCACCCAGAAAAGGGAAGAAAUACGCUACCACCAUCACUCUUUCUGCCAAUGACUUCUUUGCACACCUCCACCCUAUCUCCUGGCUCAGUCUCCCAUGUUCUCAUAGCUAGGGAGGUCUCCAUUGUAAUUUGUAUGGGGAGGUUAACCUAUAGGCCAUUCUGAUGAUCCCAGCUCCCUUUCACUACAACCCCCGUCUGCAUCCUUUGCUUUGCAGUAGGAUUUGAGAGAGGAAGGAUGAAGAUGUAGCCACAGGAUACAUUUAAACAGGCACAGAGUUUGAGGGGUGGGGGGGAACAAAAGCAAAACAAUAAAACCUUCACCAGUCAUUAAAGAAAUGAAAAUGAACCUUU